UCCUUCCUAACUAUCCACCCAUAACAGAGGUGGAGUGAUGAAUAACAAUUUCUAAAAAGAGGAUUUAUCAAUGGGUACACAGUAACUGGAGCAACUUACCACAGUAAAUAUAGUACCACAACAUGCGUUGAGGAAAAUUUAUACAUUCAAACUGAAGAUAACAACAUUUUUAUCAUAGUUUUUAUGAAAUCUAAUAACCUGAACAUAACUAAUAUAUACAAACCACAAAUACUGGCGGUACACUACCUAUGGCUCUCGAUGUGCAUCAUUCGUUUGUUGUAAUGGGUGACUUAAUAACCACCACCCUACUUGGGGAUACAAUGACAGAUAAAAAGAAGACCUCAUCAAUAGUUGAAAGCCAAAGACAUGCUCAUCUACGAUGCAAAAUAAAAGGGCUCAUUUCACAAAUCGCAAUGAAACUGAGAGUAUAAUCCCAACUUAAGUUU